GCCCAGGUGGCGGAAUUGGUAGACGCGCUAGCUUCAGGUGUUAGUGAUCGAUAGGUCGUGGAGGUUCAAGUCCUCUCCUGGGCACCA
rnacentral:tRNA from 1 species